UACGGAGGGUGCAAGCGUUAUCCGGAUUCACUGGGUUUAAAGGGUGCGUAGGCGGACAGGUAAGUCAGUGGUGAAAUCUCUGGGCUUAACCCAGAAACUGCCGUUGAUACUAUUUGUCUUGAAUAUCCUGGAGGUAGGCGGAAUAUGUCAUGUAGCGGUGAAAUGCUUAGAUAUGACAUAGAACACCAAUUGCGAAGGCAGCUGGCUACACAAAUAUUGACGCUGAGGCACGAAAGCGUGGGGAUCAAACAGG
rnacentral:rRNA from 1 species